AUGUCAGGGGAUUACAGGAUCGCACAGGGCACUUGCUUCCCACUGCAGGGGAGCCCCAGGAACUGGCAGAGAGGAACUGAAAAGGCAGAUCCUGUGACAACCAACGACCACCCAAUCCCUGGAAACAUCAGGUGGACAGAGAGGAACAAACUGGGGUGGAGGAAAGGCAGGAGGGCCACAGCCACCCUGCUGCACCCAGGACACCUGCCCUGGUCACCCUACACACAGAUGGACAUGGACAGGCACAGGGCACUGCAUGGAGAUGGACACCUGCCCUGGUCACCCUACACACAGACGGACGUGGACGGGCACAGGGCACUGUGUGGAGAGCCUGGACACCUGCCCUGGUCACCUACACACAGAUGGACAUGGACAGGCACAGGGCACUGCAUGGAGAUGGACACCUGCCCUGGUCACCCUACACACAGACGGACGUGGACAGGCACAGGGCACUGUGUGGAGAGCCUGGAUACCUGCCCUGGUCACCCUACACACAGAUGGACAUGGACAGGCACAGGGCACUGCAUGGAGAUGGACACUGGCCCUGGUACUCCACACAGAGAGGUGUGGACAGGCACAGGGCACUGCAUGGAGAUGGACACCUGCCCUGGUCACCCUACACACAGACAGACGUGGACAGGCACAGGGCACUGUGUGGAGAGCCUGGACACCUGCCCUGGUCACCCUACACACAGACGGACGUGGACAGGCACAGGGCACUGCAUGGAGAUGGACACCUGCCCUGGUCACCCUACACACAGACGGACAUGGACAGGCACAGGGCACUGUGUGGAGAGCCUGGACACCUGCCCUGGUCACCCUACACACAGACGGACGUGGACGGGCACAGGGCACUGUGUGGAGAGCCUGGACACCUGCCCUGGUCACCUACACACAGACGGACGUGGACAGGCACAGGGCACUGUGUGGAGAGCCUGGACACCUGCCCUGGUCACCCUACACACAGAUGGACAUGGACAGGCACAGGGCACUGCAUGGAGAUGGACACUGGCCCUGGUACUCCACACAGAGAGAUGUGGACAGGCACAGGGCACUGCAUGGAGAUGGACACCUGCCCUGGUCACCCUACACACAGACGGACGUGGACAGGCACAGGGCACUGCAUGGAGAUGGACACCUGCCCUGGUCACCUACACACAGAUGGACAUGGACAGGCACGGGGCUCUGUGCGCAGAGCCUGCACCCAUGGUCAGACAGUGCCUGGGUCACUCAAGAAUGUCACCAGGUCAGGGUGGGCCUCGCCCCCUUCAUGAGAGCACUGCUCAGCCUGGGAGCCCACCCCCAUCGGGACACCCUUCCUUCAGAAAGCAGCACUGCUUGGCUCUAAGAGUGACCUGA
rnacentral:lncRNA from 1 species